AGAGUUUGAUCAUGGCUCAGAUUGAACGCUGGCGGCAGGCUUAACACAUGCAAGUCGAACGGUAACAGAAGGUAGCUUGCUACUUUGCUGACGAGUGGCGGACGGGUGAGUAAUGCUUGGGAAUAUGCCUUAUGGUGGGGGACAACAGUUGGAAACGACUGCUAAUACCGCAUAACAUCUCCGGAUCAAAGUGGGGGACCUUCGGGCCUCACGCCAUAAGAGUAGCCCAAGUGGGAUUAGCUAGUUGGUAAGGUAAUGGCUUACCAAGGCGACGAUCCCUAGUUGGUCUUAGAGGAUGACCAGCCACACUGGAACUGAGACACGGUCCAGACUCCUACGGGAGGCAGCAGUGGGGAAUAUUGCACAAUGGGCGCAAGCCUGAUGCAGCCAUGCCGCGUGUGUGAAGAAGGCUUUCGGGUUGUAAAGCACUUUCAGCGAGGAGGAAAGGGUAUUGCUUAAUAGGUAAUAUCUGUGACGUUACUCGCAGAAGAAGCACCGGCUAACUCCGUGCCAGCAGCCGCGGUAAUACGGAGGGUGCGAGCGUUAAUCGGAAUUACUGGGCGUAAAGCGCGCGUAGGUGGUUAAUUAAGUCAGAUGUGAAAUCCCAGGGCUCAACCUUGGAACUGCAUUUGAAACUGGUUAACUAGAGUUUUGUAGAGGGUGGUAGAAUUUCAGGUGUAGCGGUGAAAUGCGUAGAGAUCUGAAGGAAUACCAGUGGCGAAGGCGGCCACCUGGACAAAGACUGACACUGAGACGCGAAGGCGUGGGGAGCAAACGGGAUUAGAUACCCCGGUAGUCCAA
rnacentral:rRNA from 1 species